UUGACCGCUAGGGGUUAGGGUUAGGGUUAGGGUUAGGGUUAGGGUUUUCUUCUCCUUUCAUUCCUCCUUCAUCUUGCGAUUGUUUGUUCUCUUAACUUGGUUCUUACUUUGGCUGGAUGAUUAAAACUUAUUGCCGUGUUUGCAUAUUUCUGAAGUAACCGUCAUAAAUCAAUGCUCACGGUGUAGAUGGCACCGCCCUCAUGGGUGGCAUCUCCGCCGGAGCAGUUUCAUAUUCAAUUGCCUUGUGGAGCAGCGUCGCUGCCUUAACCAUUUGGGACUGGCCAUGAACCGAACAUUACAAUCCAAUUUUUUCAAUGUCUUUUUUAGAACAUAGGGUAGGACUUGCUCUGAAAUUUGAAAAAAAUAUCUUACUUGUUUUGUUUAGUGAGCUUCAUAGUGUAUAUCAAAUUUAAACUCAAUAAAUUGUUAGGAUUUUUAUGCUGGUGGGAGUGGAACAGUAGAAUUUCUGUUCUUUGUUCUUUUUAAUUGCUUUCUGCCGACAACAAAUUCAAAGACAUUUUGAUAAACAGUUCCAAUAUUGGCUCUUGUGGAUUAGUUGAUUGCUUGGUAUUUUUAUUCACUUUUUCCCCUUAAUUGCAAUAAACAGUUAUUUUCCUACUGCCUAACUAAAUAUUAUCAAAUGGUGUUUAAUACCAAGUGCUUUUUCUAAGUUAUAGGUUUGAUCUACUGACACAAUUGACCAGGUCACCCAGCAGCCAAUAAAAGGACAAAAGUGUGGUGGGGAGUUCAAUUUGGAGAAAUGGAAUGCACAUGGAGCUGCAUAUCUUCUGCAUGAUAGGAACAAAAUCACUUUUGAAUAAGAAGUCUCUAGUUAUAAAUGGUUUUACUCAAAUCAAUAGAAAUCCAAAACACAGAAGUGAAAGAGAGAAGAAAAAACCAUUCCGGUUGGAGUUUGGAGAAAGAUGUUUAGAUAAUUUGUUUGUGCAUUCAGUCCCAAAUAUGAGCAAAUUAUAUUCUGAGGCCAAAUACUGAUAGGGAAUUCUGUAGGUGCACUGACGAAAGAAGUUGCAUCCAAAAUAUUGUUUGAUUACUAACCUGCACGUUGUAGUAGCAAAAGAAAUCCAAUCAAUGAUGUAUAGAUAAAUGACCAAAUUAGGCAAUAUAUGGAUAAGUUUAUAAACUAAUAGUAUCAACAAAGUAAACCAAGAUUGAAGGCAAUUAGAAAACAACUUAUAGAAAAAUUCAAUUGAGAGCAUAGAUUAGAACAAUUGUAUUCAACUUGUAGAGGCCAGGUAAUAUGAGAACUGAUCAAUGUGAAAAAAAAAA